UCUCCAGAGAUUUCCAGUUUGGUUUUUACAGAAUCAAUGUGUAGUACAAAUAUAAACAUGAAAAGAGUAGCACAGAGCUUAGCUGGAAAAUAUGACCUUCAAAUCGCAAUGAAGGGAUAGCCAGAAUAAAAGGUGAUAAAAAAGAAAAAAAGAGAAUUGGCAUAGCCAGAAAUUUGAUCUGUAAAUUAAGGACAAAUUAAAGCAAGAAUCAGUGAAUAGAAAAUCAAGCUGAGUUGCUGGAUUCCAUGGCCAAAUAUAGGCGCUUCCAUCACCUGCCAUAUGAAGAGAGGAUGUGCCCCAGCCAUCGAAGAUAUUGCUCAUGUUUUGUUUGACUGUCAGCUCCAUGCCCCUUUUAGGCCUAGAUAUUUAAAAUCCCUACUUGAAAGAGCAGCCCACUGGAACCUGAAUCACAGAUUGUCCUAUUUCCUCCUGGGCUCUCAUGUAUACAUUGUGAGCAGAACUGCUAAGUUUAUAGACAAGGCAGUUCAGCUAAGAACCUGUUAUAUUGGACUGAUUGGGAUACCAUGUAAAGUUGAUGCAUUUAUCUGAAUGUUUUGUAUUUACUACAUACGUGUUUUAUUAUUGCAUUUUCUUUUAUCUAUUUUACCUUGAAAUUAGAACCUGUAUCUUACGUUUACUUUAUUUUCUUUGAUAUGGUCAUAAGACCAAUCAAUUAAUAAACUACUACUACAGCAAGCUGAUCAACCCUGGAUGAGGACAGUCAGCCCCUAACCAAAUUACCAUUCUUAAUGGAAGAAGGCUCUAGAAAUUUUGCAUGUUUUCUCUUAGUCUCUGAAAUUCAUUAUUAGAAGAAAAGUCAACAUGGCAGAUUUUAUAUAUCGAUACAAGUCUUCUGUGAACUUAAUGUGAACUGUACUUCUCUAUAGCUCUUAGAAUUUUAUGACAAAGAAAGUAAUUGCUUGCAGGAUAUUGGGUUUGCCACUGAUAUAACACCACUGGAUUAUUGACAAAAGACUCAGCUAAAAACAGAGUUGUAUUAGGUGCUGAGGGUUAUUGUCUAGUAUAGUCCCCAAGCUGUGUGAAAUGUCAGUUAGUUGAAAAUUGUAAUUAUCUCACAUUACAACAUAAACUGUUUCAUUCUAGAAAAUGUCCUGCUCUUAAAUUAAUAGUCAUUGAUCCCCAAGCUAUUUCAUGAAUUCUCUCCAUCCAUUUCUCAAAUGAUUCAGCUUUCAGUCUUUGGGAUAAAUGAAAAAAACAAAAAACAAAAAAACAAAAAACAA